GGUGAACAUGAAGCCUAGAAGAAGGGAAGGGUUCCUGAGCACUGACCGCAGCGCCAUCUUUCUUUGGAGCCUCUUCAGUCUAUCUGCCAAUGGCAUGAACAGUAAGCAUGUCUCGGGUGCAGUUCACACCGGCAUGGGUGUGAUGUCAAGAUGCCAGCAGGAAGGAACGGCUCACUCCAGGUGCUCUCCUGGGAACAGAAACAAGUGCCUGACACACGUCUCUAGAAGAAAGAAACAUAUUAAAGUAACUGUGGCUUGAGAGACAUGAUGACCAAUGGAAUCGAAUUGAAGACCCGGAUAUUAAUCCGCACACCUAUGAACACCUGAUUUUUGACAAAGAAGCUAAAAUAAUACAAUAGAAAAAAGAAAGCAUCUUUAGCAAAUGGUGCUGGAAUAACUGGAUACCCACCUAUAGAAGGAUGAAAAAAGACCCACAUCUAUCACCAUGCACAAAACUCAAAUCCAAAUGGAUUAAAGACCUCAAUAUAAAUCCUACCACACUGAACCUGAUAGAGGAGAAAGUGGGAAGUAGCCUUCAAUGCAUGGGCACAGGAGACCACUUCCUAUGUAUAACCCCAGUAGCACAGACACUAAGAACAACAAUGAAUAAAUGGGACCUACUGAAACUGAGAAGCUUCUGUAAAGCAAAGGACACAGUCAAUAAGACAAAAAGGCAGCCUACUGAAUGGGAAAAGAUCUUCACCAACCCCACAUCAGACAAAGGACUGAUCUCCAAAAUAUAUAAAGAACUCAAGAAAUUAGACAUUAAAAUUCUAAAUAACCCAAUUAAAAAAAUGGUGUACUGAACUAAACAGAGAAUUCUCAACAGAAGAAUUUCAAAUGGCCAAAAGAUACUUGAGGACAUGUUCAACUUCCUUAGCUAUGAGGGUAAUGUAAAUCAAAACAACUCUGAGAUACCAUCUUACACCUGUCAGAAUGGCUAAAAUCAAAAACACCAAUCAAUGAUAGCCUAUGCUGGAGAGGAUGUGGAGUAAGGGUAACACUCAUCCAUUUCUAGUGGGAAUGAAAACUUCUGCAACCACUUUGGAAAUCAGUAUGGCCGUUUCUCAGGAAAUUGGGAGUCAACCUACCUCAGGAUCCAGCAAUACCACUCUUGGGAAUAUACCCAAACGAUGCUCAAUCAUACUACAAAAGCAUUUGUUCAACUAUGUUCAUAGCAGCAUUAUUUGUAACAACCAGAACCUGGAAACAACCUAGAUGUCCCUCAACUGAAGAAUGGAUAAGGAAAGUGUGGAACAUAUACACAUUGGAGUACUACUCAGUGGUAAAAAACAAUGACAUCUUCAAUUUUGCAUGCAAAUGGAUGGAACUAGAAAACACUAUCCUGAGUGAGGUAACCCAGACCCCCCAAAAUGAAUAUGGUAUGUACUCACUCGUUAGUGGAUACUAGCCAUAAACAAAGGAUAUUGAAGCCUAUAAUUCAUGAUCCUAGAGAAGCUAAAUAAUAAAGUGAACCCAAAGAAAAAUAUAGAUGGACCCACAUGGGAACUGGAAACAAAUAAGAUCACCU